AAGGCAGAGCGUUGAGAGGGCGGAGUGUUUGGGAGGGCAGAGUGUUUGGGAAGGCGGUGCGUUGGGAGGGCGGAGUGAUUGGGAGGGCGGAGCGUUGGGAGGGUGGAGUGAUUGGAAGGCGGUGCGUUGGGCGGGCGGAGGGUUUGGGAAGGCGGAGCGUUGGGAGGGUGCAGCGUUUGGGAGGACGGAGCGUUUGGUAGGGCAGAGCCGUUGGGAGGGCGGAGCGUUGGCAGGGCGGACCGUUUGGGAGGGUGGAGCAUUUGGGAAAGCGGAGCGUUGGUAGGGCGGAGCGUUUGGGAGGGC
ensembl:lncRNA